rnacentral:pre_miRNA from 1 species
UAACUACUCCCUCCGUCCGGAAAUACUUGUCAUCAAAAUGGAUGAAAAUGGAUGUAUCUACAACUAAAAUACAUCUAGAUACAUCCAUUUCAAUGACAAGUAUUUCCGGACGGAGGAAGUACUUA